AAGCCUUGAGCAGCAAAAUUUUCCUCUGGGCUUGGAGAGCUCAUAUAAACUAUGGUCACAUUCCUUACAUUUAUUGGCUUCAAGAUUUGAACUCUUGAACAACAAGUCCUAGAGAAAUAUUCAUGAACACCUCAGGUGUGGACAGGAUUUUUAUUUGAAAACAGAGAGAAAAAACUUUGGUUAUAAAAACAUCUGAAUCCGUGUGGACGUGGACUGAGAGAACUCCUGUUCCAUACUGAGAUUCACCAUUAAAGAGAGUCGGCUUGAUCGUGUUAUCCGAGCACGUCUGGCAAAAAGAACAACAUGGAGACAACCUAACCGCUAUCCUCAAGGCUUCAUAACUAAAGUCAACAAAGCAGUGGGUAAUGUCACGCUGGCUAUGUCCAUUAUUGAUAUAGUGUAUAGUUCUAUAAAUCACAAAUAUAACAAACACCUACUGAAGUUGACUCUAGGCCAUGUUUCCACUAUGCCAGCUGAGGUGUUAGGUAUACUAGUGCUUCUUGUGGAGUUGUUAACCUUCAGGUGUCGUGGUGGAUGUCAAGCUGAAGUUUUAACAUGUGAUCAAAUAGUAAUUAUUUAUUUGUAGAAUUCCCACCUGAGUGAACUGACCUGAAAGUGUCAGAGGUGUAGGCAUGUUGGGAUCAUCUCAAUGCAAAGAAAAAAAAGCCUCAUCCAUGAUUCUUAGGCUACAUGCUGCUUGAGCCAAUCCCUGCACUCUGUGAGAGGCAGAGCACCAGACUCAUACGCACAAUAUUCCAGAAGGACCAACACAUUCGCUCUUGUAUUCACACCUAAAGGCAUUUUGGAAUUUCCAAUUCAGCAGUGUGUCUUUGGAGGAAGCUCAAACACACACAGACAGGACACAGAGGACCACUGAGCUCUCUCUUAUCUCCAUCCACUCUUUAAAAUGGAAAGGAGUUUCUUGCAGUUUUUGCUCUGUGCCUGGCGGCCUAGUGGUUAAGACGCAUGCCAUUUUUACAGGCCAGGGGUCUUUGCUGUGUGUCACAAGUCAGCCUCUCUCCCACAUUUCCCUGUUUGUAUCUCUGUUUAGCAAAAGGUGUCAGGGUACUGAAAAAAAUUAUAAGACUAAAAUACAUUUUACUCGACAACAACCUGUACACCCCGCCACUCUCCACAAGGAGUAACUAUGUGCUGUAAAUAUCAAUUUUUAAGAGUAAAGUAAUGUGUAUAAUGUGAUAAAAUGUAGAUAAGAAUUCUUGUGUGUGUAGUUACUGAUUGGUCACGUGUCUAGCCUCCACUGUCUCUUGUCAACAGUUGUACAUUGCAGUGCUUUUGCUCUGAUGGGAGCUUCUUGAGGUGCAGAAAAAUGCACCCCAAAGACAAAACACAGCAUAAGCUAAUGUGUUGUAGCAGAAAUGUGUUUACAUGUGAACUGAAACAUACAGAGCUCAUUACUCAUUAAAAGCAAUUCAGACCUUA